rnacentral:rRNA from 1 species
AUGCAGAGAACGCUUACUCACUGCACAUGCCACACAUAUUCCGGGGAGCAUGAGCGGACGCCUCAUCACACUGCUAUAAAAAUACAGUACCUGCUCCUGCACAACUGUAGUACAAGUAUACUUCCAAGUCGCUUAGUAAAACGAACGGGCGUACGUACUGUACACGAUUUUACAAGAGAGAGAGAGAGGGGCCGGGGAAAGCGGCUAGCACCACUCGUGGGGUUAAAACCCCAAGAACAAGGCCAGCGGCGGCAGCAGCCAGAGCCAGAGCAAGCAAGCAGCCAGAGGAGGAAGGAGCAAGCAAGCCGAGCCCAAGAAAAGCAAAGCCAGUCCGAAGUAAGCAAGCAACCAGCUGUAACUGCAGCUCCGAAGCAAGCAAGAAAGGAGGCGGCGGGCAUGCCCCUCUCCGGCGGCGGCGCUCGGAUCUGCCGGGGGGCGGCGGCCGGCGCGCGGCGUUAG